rnacentral:rRNA from 1 species
AUUGAACGCUGGCGGCAUGCCUUACACAUGCAAGUCGAACGGUAACAGGUUAAGCUGACGAGUGGCGAACGGGUGAGUAAUGUAUCGGAACGUGCCCAGUCGUGGGGGAUAACUACUCGAAAGAGUGGCUAAUACCGCAUGAGACCUGAGGGUGAAAGCGGGGGACUCGCAAGAGCCUCGCGCGAUUGGAGCGGCCGAUAUCAGAUUAGGUUGUUGGUGAGGUAAAAGCUCACCAAGCCGACGAUCUGUAGCUGGUCUGAGAGGACGACC